GACGAACGCUGGCGGCGUGCUUAACACAUGCAAGUCGAACGAAGUGGCGAACGGGUGAGUAACGCGUAAUCAACCUGCCCUUCAGAGGGGGACAACAGUUGGAAACGACUGCUAAUACCGCAUACUCAAGGAGGGGAUUUCGUCUGAUUAGCUGGUGGGAGGGGUAACGGCCCAACAAGGCGAUGAUCAGUAGCCGGUUUGGGGGGAUGAACUGCCACAUUGGGACUGGGACACGGCCCAGACUCAUACGGGAGGCAGCAGUGGGGAAUCUUUCGAAAUGGACGAAAGUCUGACGGAGCAACGCCGCGUGGGUGAUGACGGCCUUCGGGUUGUAAAGCUCUGUUAAGCGGGACGCGGUACCGGAAUAGAAAGCCACGGCUAACUACGUGCCAGCAGCCGCGGUAAUAC
rnacentral:rRNA from 1 species